UGUAUGUGUGUGUGUGUGUGUGUGUGUGUGUGUGUGUGUGAGAGAGAGAGAGAGAGAGAGAGAGUGUGUGUGUGUGUGUGUGUGUGUGUGUGUGUGCUUCAAGUCAAGGAAGAUGACACUUCAGGGACACUGGAGUGGAUGUGAGCAAGGGUUUUUAUUUCAUUAAAUUUAUCUUACUGUUUGUCUUGCUGCCGCUGUUUGCCUCAGCAUCUUUUUACUCCCUAUGAUAGUCAAGGCAUCAUUGUACUGAAACAACAUCAAGGCAAAGCAUUGGACCACCAGGUGUCUCAGGCUAGCUCAUGGUGAUAAAAGAUGUGGAGGCAAGUAAGGAAGCAGGAGAUUGACUCACAGGAACCACAGACCUUUCACUUUCUGAGCCUGUUCUUCCCAGGAUCUGUUGCUGAUGACAAUACCAGGAGAGCAGAGUUUCAGAAGACCCACGGGGCUUGGCCCACUGCCUGGGAAGAGGCAUAGCCAGCCUGGGAAUUGAUUUGAAUGUAAUGAACCUUCUGUCUCAUCUGGCACUUUCAGAAGAAUUUGCAGAGUCAAUAGGUAAUGGUGGCUUUAAUUAAAAAUGAAAGGGGAGGGGAAUUAAAGCUUGACUACAGCAUCCUACAG
rnacentral:lncRNA from 1 species